CUACGGGAGGCAGCAGUGGGGAAUUUUGCGCAAUGGGGGCAACCCUGACGCAGCAACGCCGCGUGAGUGAUGAAGGCUUUCGGGUCGUAAAGCUCUGUCAGAAGGGAAGAAAUGGAGUUGGUUAAUACCCAACUUUCUUGACGGUACCUUCAAAGGAAGCACCGGCUAACUCCGUGCCAGCAGCCGCGGUAAUACGGAGGGUGCAAGCGUUGUUCGGAUUUAUUGGGCGUAAAGCGCGUGUAGGCGGUUUCUUAAGUCUGAUGUGAAAGCCCUGGGCUCAACCCAGGAAGUGCAUUGGAUACUGGGAGACUUGAAUACGGGAGAGGGUAGUGGAAUUCCUAGUGUAGGAGUGAAAUCCGUAGAUAUUAGGAGGAACACCGGUGGCGAAGGCGGCUACCUGGACCGAUAUUGACGCUGAGACGCGAAAGCGUGGGGAGCAAACAGGAUUAGAUACCCUGGUAGG
rnacentral:rRNA from 1 species